GAACCAGCUUUGGGAUGUGUCUCAGACCAUGGUGCAAAGUGACUUGAUUUAAAGGCCCUCCACUGAGAUUGCUUGUCACCAAUCCAUAUUCCCGGGUAGGGAUUUGCUGCAGUCAGUCCUGGAGAUAAGGCCUGGAUGGGUUUUUGGUCCUGGAAGCUAUGGCAGAAGUCCUUGAUGCCAUUUGUGACCACAGGAACUUGUGGCAGAGGGCCCAAUAAGGCACUAAGUCACUGCCAAAGGCUGGGAGGCCCAGUGAAGCUUGGAGCUGUGUGUGGGGGUGUUUCCCUGAAGGAGCUGCCAGUGAAAUAGAUACAGCUGAGCUGACUGCAGCACUUCUUGCUAGAGCACACCUGUCAAGAGGAUGAAUGAGCAGCAUGGCUCAAAAAAAGGGUUCUUUAAAGAAGCUGAAUAAUGGGGCAUUCCUUACCUGAGGAAUGGAGGGAUUCCACAGCCUCUGUCAGUCCUCCUGCAAAUCUCUGCUCACACCAGAAGGGAAUUCAAAAUUGUUCAGUGGUGCUGAUAUGGAUUCUGAGCCUUCUGAGACAGGACCAGCAGCCACAGAGGUACCCAGCAUUCACGUCUGUGGACUCCUAGAACACAUGGGCUGCUUUUGAAGAGUCUGCAAAAGGUAAUUAAGAAGAGUAAGCUAUUGUCAGUCAACUUCAGUUUGCUGUAUAAGGACCACUGCAGAUCUAUUGGAAAAUGCUUAAGACUCUUCAAACUGAUGUAAGUGCACCAUCAGCUGUCAGUGUGGCAGGUGGCAGUCAGACUGGAAUACUCAGCUGCAGGGAUGGAGAGAAGAACUUUGUGAGAGCAAGUGAACAGGAAGAAAGUAGGGCCGCUAGCAAAGGACACAAAAAAAAAAAAGAGGAUAGCAGGACUUUGUGAAGAAUGCAUUAGAAAUAGGCUGGCACUGUACAAAAUAGGAAAAGAUAAGUAGUUUGGAACCGGAAAGAUAAAUUAUUUGGUUAUAAAAAUGUGAUUUUGACAACUAUCUUGAAUGUCUAAACUUUCUGUGCCUGUCUGUAGUUUUCAGAUCCGCUAUCCUUACCAAAGGACAUUUGGGAGCAGAGUGCUCUACAGUGAAACUGGGCUGCUGCUCAUGAUCUUAAUCCUGGGUCUGAAACUUCCCGGUUAGUUCUGUGAGCCCCAAAGCAGCAGAAAGAAAAGAGCUGCAGGAUCCAUACAGGGAGGUUUCAAGGAGAUGGGUACAAGACUAACCCCUCAGAGAACCCAGCUUCAACCCAGCACAACAGCUCCCUGUGGAUGUGCAGAGCAAGUGGCUCAGGACUGGUGCU